CAAAAUUUAAAAUGUUAUUUUCAUUAAAUGCUUGGAAAAACUAUUAGACCCAACCCAAAACUGAAUUUAUUAUCCAACUACAGACACUUUUUUUGUGAAAUCCAGUUCCUAGAUAUUUUUUUAAUUUUUAAAAUUAGUAUAAAUUUGUCACAACUAGAUCAAUGAUUAAAUAGUAUUUUACAUAUGGAAGGUAAUUUUAGUUAACUCAAAAUGAAUUGAGUGCAUUUUGAAAACCACAAAUAAGACUUAUAUAUUUUGACUCCCAAGUCAAACCUUAUGGCCAUAAAUAAGUUUUAGAUUGAAGAUCUCUUUAAAUUUGGUCUGUUGCCUGAUCAUAUGUAAUUCUACCAUUCUCUAAGAAAGUGUUUAGGGAAACAGUUACGGAAUUGAGAAUAGUUUAUAUAAAAUUCCUUUAUUUAAUUUUAAUGCAUUAAGAUUUUUAUUGAAAUGCAGUGGAAGAAUAUGUGCCAAAAUGUGUAAAAAUCUUACAUAAAGAAGGGCAUCAGUUGUCAUUUGAGGAUAGGUGAACAUUUUUUUUUUGAUGGUCCUAAGUACUGUGGUAUUGCUACUAGAAACCUAGACUUCUUCAGCUGACCUCUUUUAGUAUAUCAACAAUGAGUUUCCAAGUAUGUGACUACUUUCAUGGCUAGUAGUACACUGAAUUCCCAGCCAAUUAUUCCGUAUAUCAGAUUAUAGAAUUUGUAAUAAACCAGGUAUAGAGAAAAUAUACAAGCACCUUUUUUGGUUAGCUUUAUAAAUAUAGAGUGCUCUAAAAAAAAAAACCACCUUUAUAUGGUCUGCAUCUGUUAAAUCACAUUAUAAACCUAAAUUAUUCAUUAAUCUGUUGUUUCUUAAUAAACUGAAAGAAUUUUAUUCCGUAGAAAACUGUUUUCUGUUCUAUCUGCCUUAAAAAUCAGAUAUGAAUAGGUCAAGGAACUUUAGAUAAUAAAGAUUGUAUGUGGUUUAUAAAUAUCACUUUAAAUUGCAGUAGUCACAUUAAUUAAUAGAGAAAUCAAAAUAUGGCCUUUUCUCUUAACAAGACACUAAGUUAAAAAGAUACUUAGUAUAAAAAAAGAUUUAUUGAUGAGUUAAGAGUCUGGAGGUUGGGUAACUUGAGUAAUGUCUUUUAGCUACUUUUAGAAAAGUAUACUAUUUCUUUACUCGUUGAACAUCUAUCCCAUACUAAUAUACCACAUUUUAUAAAUGUAGUAAAUUUGCUUACUUAUAUUAUACAGUCAAGUGUUAUGUUAAUUUAAACUAACUCCUCAAGAAAAAUGUGUUAUAUACUAUUGUGAACUGUUUAGCUUUAUUAAAUAUUAAAGAGAAAGUGCCUCAUUGCUAACAUGCAUUUCUGUUUUAGAUUUACUGCAUAAAUUUUGAGUUUUCUGUAUCUGUCCCUUAUGAGUGGUUUCAUAUUUAUAUAGGCACUUGCAAGUUAAGAGUAAUCACUUUUUCAAAGAUUUUCAUAAGAAUAUAGGUAUCACCAAAGAUAUUUUACUGUUAAUUAGUAACCAUGUUGGAAAACAGUUUUAACUGUUCAGGGGUUGGAAUAUUUUAGAUUGUGACUUAAUUUUGUAUAGUCAGGCAAUAACCUUGAUUAAUUGCUAAAAUAUCACCAAAGAAAGGCUUUAAACUAAAUUUGCUUGGUGAGACUAGUCAAAUGUAGGUUUUUCUUGAAAUGACCAGAGCACAUUUCCUUUCAAACACGUUCAGUUAUCUGUCACCAUCUGACAUGUCUUAAAUUCUCAAAUGUGAGAAGGAGAUAAGUACAACAAAUAGCUUUCCUCUGAAGGAAAAGUGGAAAAAGUGCAUACUUUUGAAAAAAAAUUGAAAUUGAGAUUUUUAAAUUUUAAUUUGAGAUGCUUUUUAUUCCACAGAGGCAAUAUAAAAUAAAUUACUCUUAUUUAGCUCCUGGGCUUUUAGUAAUAUGUAAAAUUUUAUUAAAGAUAGAUUUUGGUAACAGUGCUGACAUGCUUAUUUGUGUAGAACAUAGUACCUUCUUCUGAAUUUACACAAAUACUUUUUCUAUGUUCAGAAACAAAAUUUUCAUUAGGUCCUAUGUUUCUUGUGUCUCAGCAGUUACUUUAUUGUUAUUAGAAUUUAGCCUUUACAUCCACAUUUGGCAAAAUGAAUCACAAAACAAGAGCAUCUCUAUAUACCAAAAGAGAUGGACCUUUAUGUCAUUUCUCUUGUAAGGUAAAACUAUUAUAAAGUUUGCUCAUAGAUCACUAGUUAAACCUUGUUAUAUAGGAUAAAAAUGAAUGCACAUUCUAUUACAUACCCUGGUCCAGAAUAAGGAAUUCUCCAGCAAGCUAAGCUUUAUGCCACUAAAAUAUUGUUUGAUUAUAUUAAUUUCAAACAUCAGUUAUUUUGCCAUAACCUUUCCAGAGUAGAAACAUAAAAAUUUGAACUGUUAUUAACAUUAUUGUAAGAUGUAUAUACCUAUAAUCUGGAGAGCAGUAAGGAAUAUGUCUGGUAAAUGUGGUUUAUGAAAGAUUUAAAAAAUAUUAAGACAAGAUUUUUAAAAUAUUAAAGACUCAAAAGCCCUCUCAAAGCACAAAAUGGACAGUUGUUUCUGGAUUUACUUGAUAUACCUAGUUCAGUAGUAUUUUAAUGGAAAACAGGAGGUCAAAAGUUCAUUAAAAUGUACUUAUGUAGUACAGUUUUCAUUGUUCUAUUUUUUUUUGGUAUUUUUUAAUAAUGUUUUUUUCCCAGUAAUUUGAAAGUUUACUUGUUGUUGCUAUAGUUUCAAGUAAAAUUAAAAUGCUUGAGCACUUCCUUUUAAGAAAGUUUUAAAAUUCAGCUUAAAAAUAACUUUUAAUUACAUUAAAUGCUCAUCCAAAUGUGUCUGUAUACUCAUGCUCCUUUUUUAUGAUUCAAAACUGAGACUGGUUUUUCAGAAAUGCUUUUUAAUUUUAAUUAUAUUUAAGUCUACAGUCAAGUGAAACAUGGGUCCAGUUUUCUUCCAUCUUAUAGAUAAGAAACUAAUACAAAUGAUUAAAUAUUUCUGGGUAAUGUAGAGAUAGUAAGCAGAUUAAUUUAUUUAUCCAUACACUUCACAUCAGUCCACUGGAGCAGGAAUUCUACACAUUAAAAUGUAAUGGGAUCAGCCAGUAUUGCUUGGUGUCAGUUUCUUUUGCUGUAUUUUUAGAAUAGGGAUGGGGGCCUAAGUGUCCUUAUGAAGCUGUGGUCCAUGACAAGAGCUUGUGGGGAGGGAGUACCAGUGUUCUGCUGUUUUCCUGCAUCGGGCAGCACAACAGCGAUCAUCAGUUUUUUUAGAGUAGCCCUCACAAUAAAUAAAGCUAUCAUAGAAUAUAUUGUAAAGUUACGUUGCUAGUUUUACUUUGAGAUAUUUUAAGCUUUUGUCAAAAGUGGUAACAUCUUAAUACAAAUAAAAACCUUUUUGUGGUUGUAAGAUUUAGCUUAUAAAUCAUUCAAAUUGAAGUGAAAGAUUUACCAGGUCAUUGUUAAUGACUUAGUCUAUUAAGAAUAUAUGUAUUUUUUUAAAGGAAAAGCA
rnacentral:lncRNA from 1 species